rnacentral:rRNA from 1 species
UGGGGAAUAUUGGACAAUGGGGGCAACCCUGAUCCAGCAACGCCGCGUGAAUGAAGAAGGCCUUAGGGUUGUAAAGUUCUUUUGUCUGGGAGCAAAGGAUGUUCGUAAAUAGCGAAUGUAUCUGAGAGUACCAGAAGAAUAAGCACCGGCUAACUACGUGCCAGCAGCCGCGGUAAUACGUAGGGUGCGAGCGUUAAUCGGAAUUACUGGGCGUAAAGAGUGCGUAGGCGGAUGUAUAAGUUAGAUGUGAAAUACCCGGGCUUAACCUGGGAACAGCAUUUAAUACUGUAUGUCUAGAGUUUGUGAGAGGGUGGUAGAAUUCCAAGUGUAGCAGUGAAAUGCGUAGAGAUUUGGAGGAAUACCGAUGGCGAAGGCAGCCACCUGGCAUAGAACUGACGCUGAGGCACGAAAGCGUGGGUAGCAAACAGG